CCGCACUAAAACAACCACCCACCAAAACAAAAUAAAAAUUCCUAUUAAAACUUAAAACUAUUCAAAUUACACUUAUACUGAAACUACUUACUUCAAUCAAUGGCGACUCCUCCCUAUAAUCUGGCGGUGAUAAUCAACAACCCUUCAAAUGAAUCCGAAUUUCUACUCGUUAAACAAACCCCACCUCCUAAAUUCAACGAUCCUGAGUAUGACUCUUUCUUGGAUUCCCCUCUUUGGGAUUUGCCUUCUGCUCCAUUAAUACCUCUUGAUUCUCCUUCUGAUAAUCAGAUUGUAAUUCAAGUCCCUGAUUCUUGUUCUCAUGAGCUUGACUUAACUAAAUUUGAUCUUAAUUCAGCUCUCCAUAAGGUGCUAAAGCAAGUGGAAUUAGAGGACACCACAGUUGAGUGGAAGUUCCUGAAGUAUGUACAGGAGCCUGAAUUUGGACCAGGAUUGCCCGUAAAGACAGUCUACAUCACUGGAACUUUGGGUCCUAAAGAUGGCAAAUUGACGGAUGUUGAGUUCCGCAAGUGGAUGAGCACCGAUAAAUGCGUUAGUAUGCUUGUUGAGGUGAAGCCUUGUAGUGACCGUGUAGGAUCAUUGGUGGUUGUUGGUCUUCUGAAUGAUUCAAAGAAAUCUAAUGAGACUUGGAAAGUUCCGCAGACCUUGCGGUUUCAGGAGUACCCUCCUGGUGUUAAAGUUAUACCUAUGGAAAGUAGAACAGCUAAGCCUUUUCGCACAACAAACUUAAUUGUUUUCCUGCCUGGAGGCAAUGAUAGUGGUUGCGAUGGUAGUUUUGUUGCCCAUGGGGAAGCACUCAUAGUAGACCCCGGAUGCAAGUCUGCUUCAUAUGAACAGCUCAAGGAAAUCAUUGCUGCUUUGCCGAGAAAGUUAGUCGUCUUUGUGACACAUCAUCAUAACGAUCAUGUUGAUGGUCUUUCAGUAGUCCAGAAGUACAGUCCUGAUGCUUGUCUUUUGGCUCAUGAAAAUACGAUUCGUCGCAUUAGAAAAGAUGAUUGGUCUCUUCCAUAUGUUUCAGUUUCUGGAUCUGAGGAAAUUUGCAUUGGAAGUCAGAGAUUAAGAGUUAUCUUAGCACCGGGGCAUACAGAUGGACAUAUGGGACUGCUUCAUGUUAGUACAAACUCGUUGAUUGUGGGGGAUCAUUGUGUGGGCCAAGGAAGUGCUCUCUUAGAUAUUGCAUCUGGUGGAAAUAUGAAGGAUUACUUUGAGACAACAUACAAAUUCAUUGAGCUCUCCCCUCAUGCUUUGAUCCCAAUGCACGGAAGAGUUAAUAUGUGGCCAAAACACAUGCUCUGUGGGUAUCUCAAAAACCGGAGAUACAGAGAAUCAACCAUCUUAAAGGCCAUAGAGAAUGGUGCCAAAACGUUAUUUGACAUAGUUUCUUACACUUAUGCUGAAGUUGACCGAAGCCUCUGGUUUUAUGCCUCAUCAAAUGUGAGACUCCACGUGGAUCAUCUAGCACUGCAGGACAAGUUACCAAAUGACUUCUCUUUAGAAAAUUUCAAUCGCAGUUGUGCUGAGUUUGCUGACAAGGUGCAUAAAAAAUAAGGAAACUUUCAGAAAGCUGCCCACUAAGACCUGCAGUUACCUUUAUUCCUUUAGGAUUUUUCAAUCCAAAAUUUUCAAGCAACUUGUGGUUUGCGUUUCCUUUUAAGGUGGCUAUUCGAAUACUCAAGUAGUGCAUUCUCAAUAAAGCAUCACACGAUUAGAGCGGCUUUACUAGUUGGUACUGUGGCCGUGGCCACUGGUUGCUUGGCUGUAUCAUUCUCCACAAAGAAACAAACUUUUUAUAGGUGAUGCAAAGAAUUCUUUCUCCAGAAAGCAGAGUUUAUUAAGGAAGUUAAUACUGGCUGGCUCCAGGUCAUCCUCUCUCUCAAUGUACCAGUAGUUCUAAGAGAAGGGGUAAGACAUUUGAAUUCCCGGUUUUUAGGAGUAAAAUACUCAUUGAUAAUGUUGUAUGCAUAUCUCGCCACACUUGUUCUGCAUGUCUGCAUCUCUGAUAUUUCUUUGUGGCUGAAGUAUGAGAUUGGAUUAAUUAGACAGUAGACAAGAUUAUUGUUUAUUGAUCACAAAACUUCUGAGACAGUUAAUACAGAAACCAUCUUUUGUUUAGCUGUGCCUGUUAUUCCAUCGACGAGUGCAUUUUUCAUUAGCAGUGCUAUUAUUUUCACGGAUGAUGAGCAUCAAGCUCACUAAUUGUAUAUAGUAUCUUCUUUCUCUUUUUA